GGUGGUUCUUAGGUGACAUACCCCAGGACUGGGCUCCCUCCUCUCUGGUUCUGGGGUGCAUGACCCCAGAACCGCU
rfam:Myotis brandtii contig259630, whole genome shotgun sequence.